rnacentral:rRNA from 1 species
CCCUUAGAUGUUCUGGGCAGCACGCGCGCUACAAUGGUCUUCGCAAACGGAUGCAUUCUCGAAGGAGAAUGCCAAUCUUGGAAUCUAUGCCUUGGUCGGGACAGGUGCUUGCAAUUUUUCGACUCGAACCAGGAAUUCCUUGUAAUCGUGAUUCAUCACAUCACGAUGAAUACGUCCCUGCCCUUUGUACACACCGCCCGUCGCUCCUACCGAUCGAAGAGUUAGGUGAAUUGUUUUGAUCGAUAAGAUUUGACUAUGGUCAACUCUCGUUGUGAAAUUCUGUGAAUCUGACUGUUUAGAGGAAGGAAAAGUCGUAACA